GGGCCUAAAGCGUCCGUAGCCGGCUGGGUCGGUCCGUCGGGAAAUUCACUCGCCCAACGAGUGGGCGUCCGGCGGAUACCGCCUGGCUUGGGACCGGGAGACCAGAGGGGUACGUCCGGGGUAGGAGUGAAAUCCUGUAAUCCUGGACGGACCAUCGGUGGCGAAAGCGCCUCUGGAGAACGGAUCCGACGGUGAGGGACGAAAGCUAGGGUCUCGAACCGGAUUAGAUACCCGGGUAGUCCUAGCUGUAAACGAUGCUCACUAGGUGUGGCGCAGGCUACGAGCCUGCGCUGGGCCGUAGGGAAGCCGUGAAGUGAGCCGCCUGGGAAGUACGUCCGCAAGGAUGAAACUUAAAGGAAUUGGCGGAAGAGCAC
rnacentral:rRNA from 1 species